CAGUAGCCGCGGUAAUACGAAGGGGGCUAGCGUUGUUCGGAAUUACUGGGCGUAAAGCGCACGUAGGCGGAUAUUUAAGUCAGGGGUGAAAUCCCAGAGCUCAACUCUGGAACUGCCUUUGAUACUGGGUAUCUUGAGUAUGGAAGAGGUGAGUGGAAUUCCGAGUGUAGAGGUGAAAUUCGUAGAUAUUCGGAGGAACACCAGUGGCGAAGGCGGCUCACUGGUCCAUUACUGACGCUGAGGUGCGAAAGCGUGGGGAGCAAACAGGAUUAGAUACCCGAGUAGUCCCUGUCUCUUAUAC
rnacentral:rRNA from 1 species